rnacentral:lncRNA from 1 species
GGGCAGUAUAAUUUGUCUGAUUCUCUGUAAUAAUGGUAUGUGAAUAAUUAUGCACUUUAUUUUGUAAAGUGGUUUCUUGCAUCAAACAACACAACAUUUUCAGUCACCUCAACAUUUUCAGUCACCUCCUCAUCUGAAGGACAAGUGGAUAAACAGGUUAAUAACAAGCCCUGCAUGUAUUUUUCAAAAGUCUCAUCGAAUGUAGGUCUACAUUGAACACCAUACAUUGGCUGCUACUGGAGGUGGAACGAUAGAACAGCUAUUAGAACAGCUAUUGUUAAAAUGUUAUGGGAUGCAUUUUCUACAUAGCCACAGUAGCCUACUUGACCACUGUUAAAACUAACUCAAAAUGGGCCUCCCGAGUGGCUCAGUGGUCUAUGGCACUGCAUCGCAGUUGCUACCUGUGCCACUAUAGAUCCUGUUUUGAGUCCAAGCUCUGUCGCAGCCGCCCGUGACCGGGAGACCCAUGGGGCGGCGCACAAUUGGUCCAGCGUCGUCCGGGUUAGGGGAGGGUUUGGCCGGCAGGGAUGUCCUUGUCCCAUCACGCUUUGCGACUCCUGUGGUGGGCCGGGCACAUGCACGCUGACACGGUCGCCAGGUGCACUGCGUUUCCUCCGACACAUUGGUGUGGCUGGAUUCCGGGGUAAGUGGGCAUUGUGUCAAGAAGCAGUGCGGCUUGGUUAGGUCAUGUUUCGGAGGACGCAUGGCUCUCGACCUUCGCCUCUCCCGAGUCCGUACGGGAGUUGCAGCGAUGAGACAAGACUGUAACUACCAAUUGGAUACUACGAAAUUGGGGACAAAAAGGGGUAAAAAGUAAACAAACAAAAAAAUAAAACUAACUUAAAGCGGGUUAAACAUCAGUGUUCACAGUAAACACGCGCCGGAAGUUGCACAGAAUUUUCAUAAUGUUAAAGUUUGCGUUUAGUAGACCUGAAAUUUGCUCAGUGAUGAAAAAAUGUUGAGGGAACAUUGCUUGCUGGCCUGGCAUUAUGGGCGGGCUCUACCGUACCUCCUUUCCCAUCCAAAUAAAAUAUUGACUCACCCCGACAGAUAAAGCAUCCGAGCAAGCGAAACAGCGCCUCCCCCUCUCAGUAUGUGUAGCCCGUGUAUCUGAUGCUGUCUGGACUAAAAGAGUACGGCAUGACAUUUUUCUUUUUUGCCAGACCGCAUCAGAUGGCUACACAUUGUAAGACAGAAGGGCGCUUUUUCAGUUGAUUGCAUGCUAUUUUGGACUAACACGCGAAGGUAACCUAUUUUUUGAAGUGAUUUGUUUUACAAUCAGAUGAAAGCAUCAUGACUGGUUGUGUUCAUGCCACAGUCAAAAAGGUAGGCUAAUACAUUUUUACUGUUAAAUUACAUGUUACUAUAAAGCCCACAAUAGAACUGCAAAAGCAGUCCAUUACCUUUCCUACAGUAAAUAAGUCUAUAAUACACACUUUAGUUGUUAGAAUCUUAAUAUCGCAGACAGAACUGGUGUUACAGAAAGUUUUAGGAGGGCAUGUCAUUUUUUAUAUUGUUUUCCCCGUUGCCCCUCCUCUCGACAGUAAGGCCUGCUCCCCUCCCUCUCCCAAUAGUUGAAGAUGCCUUGCCCAGUUGAAAAUCACUCCGAUAAUUGCCUCAAAAGUGUACCUAACCUAUACCGGAACAAAUUUCACACAUAUAAUAACAGAUGAAAUAAACAAAGUAGGCUAAAGUAUGAUGGGAGAAUGGAUGAGUUGAUGCGCGAGGAGAAGCGAACAAUGCAUAAUUACGUAAUCACUAUUCUAAUUAUAAUCUCAAAAUGUUAUGUACUCUAUCAGUCUACUCUGGCCUACUUGGAGUACAGUGAGAGCGUGUGUAAUUUACAAUAGUAAGAAGACCAAGACGAAUGGAUGCACUCGUUAGCGUUGCUACAAAGUCUGAAAGAAAACAACUCCAAUGGUGGGGAAGAAAUGAAUCAUGAUUACUUCUCUGAUGAGUAUUCUUCUGAUUCUGAGCCUCAACCUGAACCUAUACCUCUGAGGCCUAAGUGCAUAAAAGCCAGAACUGUGUGCACUGAGCAGGUGCUCACACCACCGUCAAAUGAAACGGUGAGACCGGAGAGAGGAUGCCACCAUUUGGAAUAGAGCAAGCCAGUGAUAAUUCUAUUGGCUAUUAUCAGCAGAAAAUGUAAUCACUCGAGGGAGCAGUCCCUACAUCUCGAGCAAGAAAUUAAUUCUGCAACGCACUCAGCAGCUUUCGUUGUUCAGCCUAUGUGACAUGGACAUGCUCCAACUGAUAACUGACUUUUUGACUGCUGUCAUAUCAACACAUAUUCAUAAUGCCUUUAUUGCUUUCGUGAUGAUUGUCACUAUUAUCAAGCACACUUGGCGCUUGUAAUGAUGUUUAGGCUACUGAUGUUUUCGGAAGUUGACCAUGCAUCUUGCUGACCGGGUUCUAACACCAAUGCUUUCUGUUUCAUAGUUGUAACAGGCACUCCGUAAAUACAAUUUAUUGAACCCUUUAUUUAUUUAUUUUUUAUACAUAUAUCCACAUAGGAGGUCCCGGAUCCAACGGAAUCGUUCUGGCGCCGGCCCUGGUAGCUUGUUUAGGUGUGUACUGUAGUAAAAUGUUGGCUAAUCGCUGACUACUUUGUGUCCUACAGACUAAUCCUGCUGCUGAUGACGAGGAUGAUGAUGAUGAUGACCUUGACACCAGAUGUAGUAGCACUAGCGGUUCUGGGGGGGGGGGGCAGUGCCCCUGUGACAACAAUUUUGGACCCCCUUGUGGCCCCUCUAAAUGUGGAGUAUGAAAUAAUUUUUACAUAACAAAUUUUUGCUAUCGUUCUUUUUUUACAUCCGUUAUUAGACAGUGGCAACGCGGAAUACUAAUUUAAACCACACAUUUUCUAGAGGGACGGCUUUAGGCAGAACAGAACAGCAUCGUACCACAUGCAUCUGCAUUAUGAACAUGGUAUUUUGCCUGCUAAUGCCUGCAAUGCAGUGAAGAAAACGAUAUGACAACAAUAACGUCUAAUGUAACUGGCCCCUCUAACAGUACAACUGGCCUCAGAUUGGCCCCCCCAGUUGAAAUGGUCUAGAACCGGCACUGUGUAGUAGUACUGAGCCUGUAAACCCAGUGGAUGAAAGCUUUCAGCCUGGAAUAAGCUCAACAUCAUCUGAUACACUAAACUGUCUACAAGACAAUUGCUCCACCAACGUUUCGCAGCACUGCAGUCAGCUCUUUGGCAUGGAGGAGAGGGGCUGAGACCUGCAGUGCAUAAAUCUUCUGCAAGAGGUCGAAGAAGUGGGUUGUGAAGAACAUCGCCAUAGCACAAAAGCCUGCUAAACCAGCUGCUACUACCCAACACAAGAGAAUCACCUGCUGAAGAACAUUCAACCAAGACUACAUCCACAUUCAAUUGAACUGAUGUUGUAGUAUUAUAUACAGUAGAAUAGCUAAUAUGGUCACAACUGUAUUGUCGUAUAGAUAUUGCUAGCUGUUGUACAUAUGUACUGCAGUUAAUGGUGUUUUAUAUCAUAUUUUUUACAAGUAUAUUUACAAGUGACUAAAUGAUUGCAGCUGCAUCAGAAACCAAUGAAGUGUUGACUUCAACUUCUGGAUGAAUUCAUUGUGAUAUUAAUGACUUGUAUUUAGAUAAACUAGCUUAAAUCUUACUGCUAAAACAAAUGAUGCAGGUUGUUGGUGAAAGUUUGUGAAUGGCACACAAACAAUCCGUCUCAAUUGUCUCAAGGCUUAGAAAUCCUUCUUUAACCUGUCUCCUCCCCUUCAUCUACACUGAUUGAAGUGGAUGAUAGUUUUCAUCUGGAUUCACCUAGUCAGUCUUACUGACACUUGUUGUGACUUCGCGUGAUGUACUGUUGUCUCUACCUUUUUGCCCUUUGUGCUGUUGUCUGUGCCCAACAACGUUUGUACCAUGUUUGUGUUGCUGCCAUGUUGUGUCGCUACCGUGUUGUCAUGUAUUGCUGCCACGCUGUGUUGUCAUCUUAGGUCUCUAUUUAUGUAGUGUUGUGAUGUGUCUUUUGACCAACUUUUCUUUUUUUUUACUCCCAGCUCCUGUCCCUGCAGGAGGCCAUCAUUGUAACUAAGAAUUUGUUCUUAACUGACUUGCCUAGUUAAAUAAAG